UGCUGCUACGACAGCAAUCCAGGAAAAAAAAAUUUUUGGAGAUAAAGUUUGGUAGGUAUGCUGUAUGUUUUGAUAUAAGCCUCCACUUUUUGAAGUUCUAUGGGAAGGUUAAUGUUUUAAAAUGGUUGGCUAGAUGAAAUAAAGUCAUAAACACUUGAAGUUGAAAAUGCGUCUUGCUGUACACAUAAAACUUCCGAAGUACAUCAACUCUCUCUAAGAUUCAUUUAAAGGGGAAUCACAAAUCAGAACCCCCUAGUUUAGGGCAUAAGAUCAACUUCUUUUUCAAACCUCCCCCAGUGUCGAAUUUCUAUGCUUGGUAUGGAACUUUUGAUUAGUAUAGUUUGUAAAUCUGCAUUUUGGAGAUGAUUGCCCCUUCCCCAAUCAUUAUCAGAAUGCAGGUUCAUAUUAGUUCAGCAAAAUGAAGGCAUUGUGUCUAGUGUCCCUCAUUUUGGCGUAAUAAGAGCUGACUAAGAGUGUCCCUCAUUUUGGCAUAAUAAGAGCUGACUAAGAGACAAUGAUCUGUAAAUCUCUAGCGAGUAUCUCCUUUGGUUUUCUCUUUUGAAUUUGAAAGGCAAUAUUAACUGUUGCAGCAGUCAUUUAAUCUUGAUUUCAUUGUUUUCAGAAGCUUUUCCAAUAUUUAAACUAUCAAAUUGCUUCCCUGCCCACCAUGCGACUGUACAUACAUGUUUAUUGAAUGUAUAUGAUAAAAGUUACUCAAUCUUUUCUCCUGUACUACAAAAGAUCAGAUAUGACUUAGAUAUUUUAUUGGAUUGGUUGAAAGAGUCCUUUUUCUGUUUUUUAUCCCUGCUCUGGCAUCUUAUGCUGCAGAUAUUGAUGCAAGUUAUUGCUUGGUUUGAACUUUUUAACACUAGUCAAUAAAUAUUGGCAUUCUAUAGAAAAGAAAGAGAACCAGUCUGAUUUAUUUCAGUAAGAUUGCUAAAAUAGAAUGAAAGAAAUAAUUUAUGACACCCUUUUUCUCUAUUGCAAAUCCAGGAUUUGGUCUUUCAUGCAUGCUUAGUAAAGUUAAUACAGCUUACGAGAAUUAUAGAGAUUUGAUGGUUCGCUUUUAUAAAUUUGUUGCAAAGUAAGCCCUCUUUGACUUGUGUUUGGGACGUGCAUGGCUGGAGCCUAUUGGGUUCAUAUCUUGUGAAAAUGUAGAAGGCUUGAGGUCAUGGUGCAUUCUUUAUCUUUCAGCUGUGUGUGGUGUGAGUUUUUGGCAGACUUCAGGAGGGGAGGUUUGGAGUUUAUGAUCUUGUAUCCUAAUACUCUUCGACUCUUCGUUGUGGACUUUUCAUGCCGCUACAUCAUAAUUUUGGGUUGUGUUUACCAUUUUGUACUUGGAUUAUGCAUUUAUGCUUGGUUGUCUUUCUGUCACAUUUGGUUUCUCAACGAGAUUUAGUGAUUCAUCAGUAUUUGAGCUUCCGUUUAUCACUCAGCUAAUGCUUGUUGUUUGUUUUGGGCUGAGAAUAACCCAUUUUCUUGGCAGCUUUUAAUCUUAAUCUUUACGUAUGUACUGGUUUUCCUCUAUUGGUAGAGUAUCUUGCAAUGUGAACAACUUGACAUUUAUUUCUGUGAAGUUAAAUUCAAUUGGCAUAAUGCUAAAUGUCAGUGAAGAAAUGGUCUGUGAGGAAGCUGAGCUUGGAGCACAAGGAUUUAAGGAGAAAAUGCAUGGUCAACAAAAACUACAGGAACAAGUAAUAUCUAGCUAAAUCUGAUCUAAGAUGUUGUUUGAAAAUUGGUUCUGCUAAGAAAGCGGAAUGAAUUUUAUUUGCAGCAAUUGGGAAUGCUAAAUUACAUGUGGAAAUUUCACCUGGCCAUGCUAUUCCCAUGUGAAUCAGCAAGGAUCACCCUACAAGGCUAAAUACUCCUGAGUGAUUAUCAUAGAUUACUAGCAAUUGACUUGCUGAAUGAUAUCGUUAUGGUUGUGAAGUUGCACCAGCAGAUGGAAAAUGCCAAUUUUGAAGGUGAAGUAUCCGUUUUGUCAUCAAACAGAUUCAAGAGAUUGUUCGAGGGAAGGGUGUCACCUUUGUUUAGGCCAAGGUAGAUUAGAAACAUAUAUCCCUUUAGUGCACUGUAUUGGUGUUGUGGCGAACUUGUGUAAUAUUCAAGAAUCUUCUUUUGCUUUU